GCCGUGCUAGUCGGUAUUCUGUAGCCACCACUUGUUGUCGUCAGCAAUUCUCAAGAACCCAAGAAAUCAUAAAAGGACAAAAAGAAGUCACAGUUCUUAGGGUUUAUUAAAGGGUUUUGAGCUUCCACUGAAAGAACUCCACGAUUUCAGUAUAACACAUUUUCUGCUACAAGUUUCGGUUACAAGAUGGCUGGAUUCAGUAGCCUUGCACCUAAGACCAAGAAUCUGGUAGUAGCUGGAAGCUUGUCAGCAUUUGUUUUUGGGGAUUAUUUCAACACCAUGAGAGCUGUUGGAGGGACAAACAAACUUUCAGACCGCGAUUCAUAAGUUUGAACAGCAGAAAAGCAAGCAAGAGUCCGAGGCAACCAUCCCAUCUAAGCCUUGACCAUAUGAUCCUUGGUGUAAGAAUGUGAUCAGAAACAAGAAAAUGGUUAAUUUGUGAAUGUGCUGUUUCUAC